UACAGAGGUCCCGAGCGUUGUCCGGAAUCAUUGGGCGUAAAGCGCGUGUAGGCGGCUCGGUAAGUCCGCUCUGAAAGCCCGGGGCUCAACCCCGGGAGGCGGGUGGAUACUGUCGAGCUCGAGUCCGGAAGAGGCAAGUGGAAUUCCCGGUGUAGCGGUGAAAUGCGCAGAUAUCGGGAGGAACACCAAUGGCGAAGGCAGCUUGCUGGGACGGUACUGACGCUGAGACGCGAAAGCGUGGGGAGCAAACAGG
rnacentral:rRNA from 1 species